rnacentral:rRNA from 1 species
CCGGCACGGGUGAGUAACACGUAUCCAACCUGCCGUCUACUCUUGGCCAGCCUUCUGAAAGGAAGAUUAAUCCAGGAUGGCAUCAUGAGUUCACAUGUCCGCAUGAUUAAAGGUAUUUUCCGGUAGACGAUGGGGAUGCGUUCCAUUAGAUAGUAGGCGGGGUAACGGCCCACCUAGUCAACGAUGGAUAGGGGUUCUGAGAGGAAGGUCCCCCACAUUGAAACUGAGACACGGUCCAA